rnacentral:rRNA from 1 species
GUUAGCCGGUGCUUCUUCUGCAGGUACCGUCACUCUCGCUUCGUCCCUGCUGAAAGAGGUUUACAACCCGAAGGCCGUCAUCCCUCACGCGGCGUCGCUGCAUCAGGCUUGCGCCCAUUGUGCAAUAUUCCCCACUGCUGCCUCCCGUAGGAGUCUGGGCCGUGUCUCAGUCCCAGUGUGGCCGGUCGCCCUCUCAGGCCGGCUACCCGUCGUCGCCUUGGUGAGCCGUUACCCCACCAACUAGCUGA